GGAGUUUGCUUUGUAAAACUACUUCCUGUUUAUAUUUAAUUAUAAAUACUUCUUAAAAAGUCAGGAUUCCAUAAAACCAUUUCCCUUCUGCCUUCAAAUCUUUCCUCAAGCCUUGUUUUUGUGAAGCUUUCAGCACAUCUGCUUCUCAUGCCUUGAUGGAGCUGCAUGUAAGCACACCCCAGCAUCUGCAGGUGAAGCCAUUUGUGGUAGUUCCCUAUUUAUAUUUUCAGAGAUUCCCUUUUCUGUGCUUUUUUUCACGUAUUAUCUUGUAAGCUCUGUGGAACUGACAUUUGUCUGCUUGUCCUCUGGAAAGUUCCAUGCCUAUCAUUCAUGAAAAAGAAGAACCACCCCAACAAACAUAAGGAUGAGGGUCAAGCCAAUUCUUGUUUCCUUUGCUUGAGGGGGGGAAAUUUUAUAAUAGCAAGGCUGAACUUGCCUGGACAGAGGGAUCCUCACAAAAUUGUCAAGGCAACAUUUUUCUUAAUCACAUCAUGUGUCUGGCCUAUCACUUCUGAAAGGUUUCCUGCCCUACUGCAAACUUCAACUUCGAAUAAAAGAAUGGCUCAA